AUUUAUUGAUACUGUGUCACAUUUCCCUCAGCCCGGAAUGGCUGUGAGUUUGUGCUCUUCUCAGUGGGGGAUUGGAGAAGGUUUUGGCUGUAAUUAGCAGUCGGAGAAAAAUCCUGCUAAAUAAAAGUGUCUCACCUCUGUCCCCCCUAAGUUAUCCCAGUUUGUCCCAGCUUGGAGCUGCGCAGAAGUCAGGCAGGGGAAAUGACCUCAGGGAUACAGCUGUCAGUUCCAAGGCAGCGAGAGAAGAUGUAGCAGCCAAGGGCAGGGGAGGGGAAAGGUUUCAGAAAGCAUUUCUGUGGUGUAAUGAAUGCCAAUUUCUGCUUGCCCAGGGAGAAGAGGACGAACUCCCAGCCAUUCAGGCCUGACAGUCCCCUGCAGCGAGGGCAUACACUGGAAGAGUUCAGGGUCGAAGACAAGGCUGAGGGAAAAUCCAGGGUAUUUAUAAGGGAUGAUGGGAGGUGGGUCCAGGGUGAGAAUCCAGUGGGUAAAGGGAAAAGUGGUGUAAGGGAGGAGUAAUACAGGGCAGGGGCCGAUAAGGUAGGAUGGGUGGAACAGUGCAGUGAACAUAAACCAGUGGGGGGGGGGGUACAGGGAUACAAGAACUUUCCAGAGCUGGGAGGAGACAAGGGAUGACAUAACUGGGAAUAGAGGCAACCAAUGGGAAAUGAGGGUUAUAAAGCUUUACCUUAAAGCUUUGCCAUAAAGAAUUUUUAAAACCUUUGACAACCUUCUUAGGAGCUAUUCUAAACUUAAACAAAUGCCCUCCAAGGUCUGGGGCCAUGGGCCAACUCCUCACCCAAAACACUGGUCUGGCUUGGCAUGUCAGUCAGUCCGAUUCCUACACUGGGCCUCUGCAUGAUAUUCGCCCAGAAGCUGCCUUUCAAGGACUGAAGUGGAACAAAAAGUAUAAAAGAAAUGUCAUUCCCAGAGGGAAAACAGUUUCAUUUCUCUUGUGUCUACUUUUUUUUUUUUUUUUUAACAGUUACCUCAAAAUUCCCGGAUCCAGAACAGCUACUCUGAGUUUUGGUAGAGAUUCCAAAGCGGGAUACAGUAGGUUUCAAAGUACACCUUGGAAAAUCAAUCGUUUGUCUGCAGCAUGCAGCAUGUAGGUGUGAUGUCUGUAACUGGUCUUAGUUGAUGCAGAGGUACUUGGAAAAAAACGUUUAAUCUUUCAUCUCUCCCCACCUGCAUUCUUCCUAAGUGUACUUUUUAUUCAGCAGGACUCGGAUGAGAGAGAGAGAGAGAGAGAGAGGGAGGAACUCUCUUCACAUCAGCGUCAAAGGAAAAAGUGUUCAGCGACUUACAGUCCAGGGCAGCGUCUUAGCCCAGGUCUCGGGGGCUGUGUGGAGGUUGCUCCCUGGAGCAGGGUCCCCCCGUGAGGAGGAGCCAGAGAUUGGGUCACUGGAGCAGGUAAGGAUCUGUUUCCAUUUAGUCCUUGUUUUUGCUGGCUUUAACGUCACGGCUGCAGCGUUCCUUCGGACCUUGUGCCCCGCAGCAGCAGUUCCAGCUGCUGAGCUGGGUGGGGAGCCGUUCUGGGCUGGGGCUUUCAGCCUCCCGGGCGUCCAUUGAAAUCAGCCCUUUGUUUGAUUUCCUUCAGUCUCUGGGGUUUGCCACCCUCGGUGCCACGGGACCGAGCUGUGCGAAGGCUCGAUCCCGUCGGUCCAAAGUCCUGGGCAGCGUUUCCAGCAGCAGGGGCUGGAGGCAUCGGGGGCUGCCUUUGGAGCCUUGUUCUCCCCUUGGCUUUUACAGAGGGUGCCAGACUCUGCCCUUGAGGAUCCAGUGUUGCUUUUGGACGUUGAUCCUGCAGCUGGACAGGCGGUGCAGUGAGGAGCAAGUUGCUGGCUUACGUGAUUUCUGAGUGACCUGUCACAGAAACGGGCAUCUGUGUGUGCAGGUGCUUCCUGGCAAAUCCAGAUGUGACGUGGAAAUCCUAAGGGAGGAGUUCCAGCCUUGACCACGCGUGACACAGGCUUGUGGAAAUGGAAAUGGCCUUGGCAGAAGAGCAGCUGUGAGGUGAAGCAGGACUGCAAUACAGGUGCUGCCCAGGGGGGACAUCUGUGGCCUCAGACAGCGAUGGCCUUGGAGCAAGGGGAGCCUUUGCACAGCUCACCUGCAGAGCUCAGGUGGAUGGGACAGGAUUGGUGUGGCCUGAGAAGUCCUGAACAGCUGUGUCUGUGUUCUGCAGUGCCUUGAAACCUUUCUCUGUCAGGUUUUGGAGGGGUUUCUCUUUAGGAUUUCUUGUGAUGCAGCACCCCGGGUGUCCCUUUGUGCAAAGUCCAGUGGUGAAGGAGGAUUGAGUGAGUGACAAGUGGGGUCUGGCAUGAAAAUGGUUCUGUUAAAAUGGAGCAAAGACUGCAAUAAGAAAAACGAGCAUCCCUUUACUGUCUGAAAGGGUUAGGAAUAAAAAUGCUGGAGAAGGGCACUUUUAUAUUUGAAUUGGUGUCACCUGUCUUGGAUCAAGCCCCACAGUGAGCAAUCCAGAUCAGAAGUGUGUAAGCUGGGAUCCUUUGACUUCUGCAGGGGACUUCAUUUUCUUUUCUUCUUCUUCUCUUCCAGGACCGGAGAAAUGGUUGUGGAAUUAUUAGAUGGCUUUUGUUAGAUGCAGGUUUUAUUUUUUCGGAAGUUUUUUUACUGCAGCCCUUUUAAGAUGGUUUUCAAUAAUACAGUGUAUAGUUUUAUAUUGUUUGUAGGUGGCAUAUGAUAAGAGAUGUUGUCUAGUUAAUGCUGUAUCUUUUAGUUUAGGUGUUGAUAAGGUUUUUCUUGAGUUGAGUUUUGUUUUUGUGUGUUUUUGUUUUUUUUUUUUGUGGGGUCUUGUUUCUAAAGGAUGCGUUGCUAAGGUUUCUGAUGGUGUUAGGGGCUGUAGCGUAAAGCAUAGGGCUGGUUUUCAGUUAUUUUGUGAUGGCUUUUAUUAUUGUGAGUAUUCAGUGUUUGUUUUGGGGGUUUGAGGUAAUGUCAUGUAGCUGAUUUACUUGUUUUUUACUCUUAUAAUUGGGAUAUUAUAUGGGUUAUGUUAUUUAUAUUGGCUUGUUAUUAUAUCAAAGGGGUUUUAUGUGUUUGGUUUGUUUGAUUAGUAGUGUAUGUUUUAUUAGUUUUAUUAUUAUAUCAUUGGGCUUUUGUUUAUUAGCAGUAUAUGUUUUAUACUUGCAGAUAAUACGGGAGAUAUUGUUUAUGGUUAUAUUUAUCUUUUGGUUUUGUGUUUAUCUGUAGGUGGUAUUUGUGUAUUGAUGGUUUGAGACAUAAUGGGUUGAUUGAGCUUGGAGUUAACUUCUUUUGGCGUAGUUAAUUUAGGUUUAUUUGUGCAAUUUUUAUUUUUGGGUUUGAUUGGUUUGUUUGUUGUUUUGGUGUUUUUUAUUAUUUUUAUUUUUUGGGAACAUGGAUAUUUAUAGAGUGGAUUAUUUUAGGUAGGUUUUUUUUUUACUGUAGUGGUUAUUUUUUUUUUUUUUUAAUAUUUUAGUGCUUUUAGGUUCUUGUAAUGUUGUCAAUUAGUUUGGGUUUUUAUAUUUCUUUGGUUUUUUUGGAAUGUUUAGGGUCAGUUGCCUUGUUCUGAGUUAAAUAAGAUGGUUUGAUUUAUUUUUUGUAGUAGUUCUUGUGAUUUGUUAUGAGGGUUUCUAUACAGUUUUAUUUCUGUUUCAUAUUUAGGAUGUGAUGGGAAUUGUUAGUGACAAGAGUGUAGUGUGUUUCUUUUUUUAUUGCUGGUAGUGGGUUGUAUGGUGUAGGUUUUGUAUUUUGCAGAGUAUUUUUUGCUUUUAUUUAGUGAGAUCCAAGUUUUUGGUUUUAGGUUCAUUUGUAAUUAUUUUCACCUCUUUGGGGAUUUAGAUUUUUGGUGUGAGUGCCCUGCCUGAUGACAGUAAUUGGUUGAUUUCAUGUGGUAUUGGUGGCAUGGUGGGUAGAGGGCAUUUUUGUUUUGACUAUUAAUUUUAAUAUUGGUAGAUGGGAUAGUAGGAGGAUUUGUGUUUUAGUGUUGAUUGGUUUUGAGGUGGUUUGGAUUUUUUGAUAACUUAAGGUGUUUUGUGAGCUGGUGGAUGUUUUAUGCUCUUGGUAGGAACACGAUGCUGUUUUCUCGAGUGUAUCCUUAGGAAGUGGAUUUUUUCAUUAGGUUUUUUGUUUGUUUUUCACGGUAAAAUGUGUUUUUAGGAGAACUUGGGUAACUUUAAAUAUAUUUUUGUUGAAGUUUUUUGUGUACUGUAGAUGAUGUGGAGUUUUCUUUUAGUGUAAUUUGUAUAUAAUCUGUGGUAGCCAGUAGGAUUGUGUUUUUAGUUUUGGGGUAGUUGUUUUUAGGUGUAUUGUACGUUUGUUUGGUGAAGGUAAAUUGAGGUUUGUGUUGGGCUGUUGGAGGAACAGAGAAAAAUGCUUUGGCCAUGUUAAUACGAGUGUGCAAUUCAGUUUGGAUUUUAGUUUGUAUUGGAGUUUUAAUACAUUUGGUUCUGUGUUGUGUAAUGGUGGAGUUCUUUAAGGAAUGAUAGCUGGUAGUAGUUUAUUUUCUGUAUGUUGGUGUAUAGGUUGAAUGGGGUUGUUGAAGGGCGUGUGGGUUUUGUUGCUUAGUUUUGGGUUUUGAGUUACGGAGUAUUUUGUGGAUGGGACAAGUAUCUUGAGUUGGGUGCUGUUGGUAGUGUCUUGUUGAGGGGGUAAUUGGUAUUUGUUAGGGUUUUUUAAAGUAGCUUUAUUACAGUUGUUUGGUAGUUGAGCUAAGGUGUUGAUUUGUUUUCUCUUGGUUUGGCAGUAGAUAUAUAAAAUGCUUAUUUGAGUUUUGAGGGCUUCUGGAACAUUUGUACUGGAAGAGAUUUAGAGUGUUUAGAAUGCUUCACUUUUUGGGUUUGUUAUAAUGGGAUUUAAAUACUUCUCUAGCUACUUUGUUAGGUUUUAUUACAGUUAAAUAUUGUGCUUCCUUGAUUUAGAUAUUAACAGAUAUGGGAUUAGUUUUUCUAUGUCGUGAUGGCUUUAGUGUGUGCUGUGUAUGAGUGUUGACAAAGGUUUUAUUGUUUCGGGUGUCCCUUUGUGCAAAGUCCAGUGGUGA